UCUGGCCCGGCUCGAGGCAGCCGACGCGGCCCGCGUGGUGGUGGUGAGCAGCUCGGCGCACUUCCAGGCGCCGCGCGCCGGGAUCGAGUUCGACAACCUGAGCGGCGCGGGUGGCUACGGGGCGUGGCGCGCCUACGGGCAGUCCAAGCUGGCGAACGUGCUGUUCGCGCGGGGCUUGGCGCGUCGCCUGCGUCCUGCGCAUUCGGCCAACGCGCUGCAUCCGGGCGUGAUCGCGACGAAGCUGACGCGCAGCAUGAGCCCGCUGGUGAGUCGCGGCCUCGACCUGCUCGGCGGCCCGUUCCGCAAGACCAUCCCGCAGGGGGCCGCGACGAGCUGUUACGUGGCGACGCGCCCGGAGCUGCAGGGCGUCUCGGGCGAGUACUUCUCCAACUGCGCGGUCGCGAAGCGCAGCCGGCACAGCGAGGACGAAGCGCUGGUCGAGCGUCUCUGGGAGGUUUCCGAGCGGCUCACCGGCCUGCGGUAGCCCGCAUUUCUCACCAGCGAUGGCUGCAAAGAGGUGUGGGACGCUCGUCGUGGCGGAACACGGGAACUCGGGCGCGUCGCGGCAUGACCGCACGGGGCUGCUCGGACUGAUCGACCGCAUCGGCGAGUGGGAUGCGCUCUUCGCCUUCGACUUCGCGCGGCUCGCGCGCAAUCAGGAGGAUCUGGGAUGGAUCCGGAAUCGCGUGCGCGCGCAUCACAAGCUCGCCGUUGAGGCGGAGCGAUCAAGCAAGGGGACUCUUUCCCGCCCGUCAACGAUCUUUGUUGCUUUCCCGGCUCAGAAGAGUACAAGUAACGCUGUAUGGCCCAUCUGUGAGCCUUCGGGAAGGCGAUUGCGGGCUGCGUUCCGUUCCGACGGUGCUGCGUCGUCCCGACUGUCGCUUCCUUCUCCGCGCAUUCCGGAGCCCGCGUGCGCCUCCCCGGCGUUCUCGACGAUGACCCACCGGGGGCUUUGGUGCCCCUUUCCUCCCCAGCUUUCGCUCAGCUCAUGAAGGUUGCGGCUCCUCGUGUGCGCUGUG
rnacentral:misc_RNA from 1 species